rnacentral:tRNA from 1 species
GAGCCCUUAGCUCAAUGGUUAGAGCACUGGCCCUAUGCACCAGGGAUGGCAGGUUCAAACCUGGCCAGGGCCU